rnacentral:miRNA from 1 species
UAAAAGUGCUGCUGGUGGAAGAA